GACGAACGCUGGCGGCGUGCUUAACACAUGCAAGUCGAGCGGUAAGGCCCUUUCGGGGGUACACGAGCGGCGAGCGGGUGAGUAACACGUGGGUGACCUGCCUUUAGCUCUGGGAUAAGCCUGGGAAACUGGGUCUAAUACCGGAUAUGACUCCAUGACGCAUGUUGUGGGGUGGAAAGCCUUGUGCGGCUAGGGAUGGGCCCGCGGCCUAUCAGCUUGUUGGUGGGGUGAUGGCCACCAAGGCGACGACGGGUAGCCGGCCUGAGAGGGCGACCGGCCACACUGGGACUGAGACACGGCCCAGACUCCUACGGGAGGCAGCAGUGGGGAAUCUUGCGCAAUGGGCGAAAGCCUGACGCAGCGACGCCGCGUGAGGGAUGACGGCCUCGGUGUAAC
rnacentral:rRNA from 1 species